rnacentral:rRNA from 1 species
UGACCAUGAGUUUAACGGCCGCGGUACUUUGACCGUGCGAAGGUAGCGCAAUCACUUGUCUUUUAAAUGGAGACCUGUAUGAAUGGCAUGACGAGGGCUUAACUGUCUCCUUUUUCCAGUCAAUGAAAUUGAUCUUCCCGUGCAGAAGCGGGAAUAACACCAUAAGACGAGAAGACCCUGUGGAGCUUUAGACACCAAGACAGACCAUGUUAAACACCCCCUCCUAAGGGAUUAAACUCAUUGGAUUCCUGCUCUAAUGUCUUUGGUUGGGGCGACCUCGGAGAAACAAAAAACCUCCAUGUGGAAUAGGAGUACUACACUCCCAAAACCAAGAGCCACAGCUCAAAUUAACAGAACUUCUGACCAAUCUUUUUUAAACAGAUCCGGCCACCCACGCCGAUCAACGGACCGAGUUACCCCAGGGAUAACAGCGCAAUCCUCUUUUAGAGCUCAUAUCGACAAGAGGGUUUACGACCUCGAU